UGGCAUACUUGCCUCGGUGAUGC
rnacentral:siRNA from 1 species